ACCUUCUUGUAUAAGCACUGUGCUAAAAUUGCAGAAACUUGAAUCCUGUUUUGGUUUCUGUAGUAAUGCUAGCAAAAGGAAAGUAUCUGCAGAGAUCCUAUAAUCCUAACUACUCAGGAGGCUGAAAUCUGAGGAUUGUAGUU